CAGACAUCAAGGCUGACGUUUCAAUGAUGGAGUGCUACACUGUUCGAGGUGUUUUUGUUUGGAUGAGAUGUUAAAACAAGGCCCUGCUCUAUGCCCUCAGAUGCGCAUAGGACAUUCCGGCUGCAGAGGAACUCCCACCAUCGAGUUUCUCAAGGAAGGAGGGGAGAAUUGGGAACUGCACAGAAAAGAGGCAUAGAAUCUACUCUAGGUUGGAGUCUUCAGCAUCCAUCACCAAGAGUGGCUCAGCAGCAGUACUACUGAUCAACUGGUCGGGUCCCUAAGAACAUAGCUGUUAGACUGGGUAUGCUGCAGAUGUUGAGGGAACACGGAGGAAAAACAUACUUGACCUCAUCCUCACCAAUCUGCCUGCCACAAAUGCAUUUGUCCAUGACAGUAUCAUUAAGAGUGAUGAUCCAGUCCUUGAGGAAACAAAGUCCCACCUUCACAUUGAGAAUAACCUCCAUCGUGUUGUGUGGCACUAUCACUGUGCUAAAUGGGACAGACU